GGGGGUGACAUGGCUUCGACAGGGGAGGCUGUGUAUAUGUUGCAGGCCGCGGCGCCCGAUGCCGCGUCAACAACGGGCAAGGCAAUUAAAUGCCAACGAAACCAACUACGCGCUUCCAGUCGCCGCUUAGGUAACGCGGGAGCGUAGCUGGCCUUGCGAGGCCAGCCGUCCGUCCCAAUCGUCGUCACCCGGUUGGAUUGGCGGGCGUGACUAAAGGUGGCGUGCGGUCGCGCCGACGCCGAUACAGCGGACCAAAGAGACAUCGGCUAGUUGCCAGUGUACCGCGUUCGCUGGGGCUACUGGCGGCGAAUGCUAACAGGGAACUAAGCUUGUAGACGCGUAUAGACGAAUCUCUUGGACAGCGGUUCGAUUCCGCUCACCUCCACAU
rnacentral:tmRNA from 1 species